rnacentral:lncRNA from 1 species
AUGCCAUCUAACUUUUAUUUCAGUUGAAGAAUUAGACUAGCAUUGUCACAUGCUGCUUGACUUAGGUCAUGUCAGCUAAAUUCCUGCGAAAAGUAAGGUUUUCGCAAUAAAAGGAUACACUUUGUUUUGCUUUUUGUCUUCAAUUCAGCAGUAAGUUCUUACAAAGGUAUAUCAUUCCUCCCAGUUUGUGAGGUAUGGGUCAUCGCUGGGGUCAGAAAGGGUCUUUACUUGCCAUAGGAGAAACAAAAUUUGCCAAAUCAUUUGUGCUUUAGUAUUUUACUUAAAACUGUUUUGUUUUCUUUUGUUUUUUGUUUUCUACUUGAAAUAAAUCUUGCCCAUUUUUUCUUCUGCCUACUUAUUGAUAACUUUUUCUAGAAACUCACUAUAAAAUCUGUAUGUUCGAAACUUAAAUGGAGUUGAUUAGCACCUUCUUUUAUAAUGAUGCUUAUCAUUUUUAACUAGCCUGGGUUUUCAUGGAAACUAUAAAAAAAAAGCAUCUGUUGGUUAUGUAUUGAUAUUUAAAAUACCUGGACCAUCUCUAUGAUGUUACAUCAAAAUAGAUGACCAGUGUACUCAAUAUUAAAACAUAGCUGUGUCCUUUUCAUUUGUCAGAGUGGAAUGAAAUACACAUAUACACACACAUAUAUACUGCUCUCUCUCUCUCUCUCUCUCUCUCUCUCUCUCUCUCUCUCUCUCUCUCUAACAAACUGCAUUUUUGU